UACAGAGGUCCCAAGCGUUGUUCGGAUUCACUGGGCGUAAAGGGCGCGUAGGCGGCCUGUUCAGUCAGGCGUGAAAUUCCUGGGCUCAACCUGGGGGCUGCGCUUGAUACGUAUGGGCUUGAGUGGGGAAGAGGGUCGUGGAAUUCCCAGUGUAGAGGUGAAAUUCGUAGAUAUUGGGAAGAACACCAGUGGCGAAGGCGGCUCACUGGCCCGAUACUGACGCUGAGGCGCGAAAGCGUGGGGAGCAAACAGG
rnacentral:rRNA from 1 species